CUCGGGACCUCCUGGAGUGCUAUGGGCAGGCCAGCAGAGCCCUGACUGCAGCCCAGAGAGGAAAAUGACUUGCCCAGUCAGUAAGUGGCCAAGUGUCCUUCAGUUCCCUCGUUCCUGCCCUCUGGGAGGCCCUGCCCUGAUAAACAGCUAUGGAAUGUCGACACACAUGUGAAUGUGCUUGCAGCUGAAGCUCUUGAACAUUCAAAUGCCUUCCCUGCUGGAUAAUCUCUGAAAGAAGUUGGACAAAGGAGAGGGGAAUGGACCCAGGGAGCUUAAGAAAUGUUUUUGUAAACCUGUAUCCGGCCACACUAAAUAUGUAUGCAAUGAAGGUGGGCCUUGCACUCCGGGGGGUUUCCAUUCAUGUGUUAGGAUUUCAGUGAUAAGAAAAUAUAUUUUUAAGUUCUUUUUCCAUGCCUGUGAUGUAUCUUGGAAAGUUAGCAGCUGGGGAGAUUUUUUUUUCCUCCUGCGUCCUAUU